rnacentral:rRNA from 1 species
GACGAACGCUGGCGGCGUGCUUAACACAUGCAAGUCGAACGGAAAGGCCCUGCUUGCAGGGUACUCGAGUGGCGAACGGGUGAGUAACACGUGGGUGAUCUGCCCUGCACUUCGGGAUAAGCCUGGGAAACUGGGUCUAAUACCGGAUAGGAGCCAUUUUUAGUGUGAUGGUUGGAAAGUUUUUUCGGUGUAGGAUGAGCUCGCGGCCUAUCAGCUUGUUGGUGGGGUAAUGGCCUACCAAGGCGGCGACGGGUAGCCGGCCUGAGAGGGUGGACGGCCACAUUGGGACUGAGAUACGGCCCAGACGCCUACGGGAGGCAGCAGUGGGGAAUAUUGCACAAUGGGCGCAAGCCUGAUGCAGCGACGCCGCGUGGGGGAUGACGGCCUUCGGGUUGUAAACUCCUUUCGCUAGGGACGAAGCUUUUUGUGACGGUAACUAGAUAAGAAGCACCGGCUAACUACGUG